CCGGCCACGGGUGGGUAACACGUAUCCAACCUGCCGUCUACUCUUGGCCAGCCUUCUGAAGGAAGAUUAAUCCAGGAUGGCAUCAUGAGUUCACAUGUCCGCAUGAUUAAAGGUAUUUUCCGGUAGACGAUGGGGAUGCGUUCCAUUAGAUAGUAGGCGGGGUAACGGCCCACCUAGUCAACGAUGGAUAGGGGUUCUGAGAGGAAGGUCCCCCACAUUGGAACUGAGACACGGUCCAA
rnacentral:rRNA from 1 species